GUUAAGGGACAGAGUGGGAAAACCACACUGCAAGCCUUACCUAGACACCAUCGUGUAUAAAUGGCUGCUGGAAGGCUCGUGACAGCACACUGACACUGAACGUCUCCCCUGAAGGUUGUCUCAGUCACCGUGGCACAAUGAGAAGCACACUGAUCGCCCUCGUCCUCCUGGGUCUGGUGGGGACUAUUCUUGCCCAAAAGGUGGUGCCCCUCCAUAACCCUGCUCGUGAUAAUAAGUUGGACCCUGUCACUGAUAACAACUUGGACCAUGCGAAUGAAAACUUGGACCUUGGAACGGAUGACGCUGCCCAGGAUGACGGCAUGGAGAGGGAAGAUUUCCUGGGCGAAAACGCAAACUUUACACGGAUUGGCGGCCUUCCUACCUAUUGAUUCAACUGAAAAUGUUGCCGUUCACAUCGGGCGCGACGAAAAACCUGCAUCGACUGACCUCCAUUAAUGGAUUAUGGAAAGAGGAACAUUGAAAGAGGACAUGGCAAAACUAACCUGAUGCAAAUGAAAAUAAUAUAUCGCUAACCGAAAAUUACCGUGCAUUUGAAAAAUUCAGAAUUAACAAACAAAGGUAUUAAUAGAUACAGUUAAGAACAUUGAGUAUGUUAUGUGAUAUUUAUAGUACACAUUUUUCACCUCUGCUCACAUCCACAAUUGUUCCCUGACUUAGUUGAUUGGAAAGGUCAGGUGUUUGUUGUUUAUAUCAGCAGUGGUUCCACAUAUUACACGUGUUUAUUAUAAUAAAAUUACGCAUCCUA